UUAAAUGAAUAUUUAUAGCUGCCGAUUUUUUCAGCUAAAUUAGGGAAAAAAAACAAUGUCUUUUUAAAAAGCUGACCGCCUCUGCUUCAUAAAGCAACAACUUCUUCCCCGCUCCCUCCCCUUCCAGACUGCAUCCACCAUGCUCAGUACUUUUUUCUAUACUGGGCACUCAACUGAGAUGUAUAGGCUGAGCACUCCAAGGUGAGGACGCCAGCUCAGGGUCCACGCUACUUAGCUCAGGUGGACAAAAGCUGCUGGAGAACCCGGGUGUCAUUCCUCCACCAAGGAUCAGUGCCGUUGGCUGGAGGAGCCGGCAGGGAGCGAGAGUGAGAGCCAUGGGAAGGAGAGGAGAAAAUGUGUCCAUCUUGUCGAAACGGAGCAGGUUGCAGCUGUCUGCAGAGCCGUCUUGCGAAGUGACAAGGGAAUAUUUACAUUAUCAAACACUGUGAUGACGAGCAUCUUGGGCUCUUGCAGUGCUGUACGGUUAAGUACGUCAACUAGCACUGUAACUCUGGGCUUGUGCAGCAGGCACGGUAGUUGCAAAAUUUUGGGGGUAGCUACACCCCUCAGACAUUAUCAUGCAUGAAACGGACAGAGCUGUGAAGCAGAUAAGAGUUUCCCUAAAGUUGAGGAGAGAGAGCAUCUUUGAAGGAUGUUUUGAUGUUUAAUAGGUAAGGAAUGCUUUCUGUACCAUUCUGUGGAGAAAUUUUAAUACAGAGAGAAAAAUAUAUGGAAAAAUUUGCUUGGAAAAGAAGGCUCAGUUUUCCUGCUGCAAAGCAUUCAAUUCUUUUCUGUGAAAAUUGAAAUGUUAA
rnacentral:lncRNA from 1 species